rnacentral:rRNA from 1 species
AUUGAACGCUGGCGGCAGGCCUAACACAUGCAAGUCGAACGAGUGGCGGACGGGUGAGUAACACGUGGGAACCUACCCAUCAGAGGGGGAUAACACUUGGAAACCGGUGCUAAUACCGCAUACUGAUGGAUGGACCCGCGGUGCAUUAGCUAGUAGGUGUGGUAAAGGCUCACCUAGGCGACGAUCUCUAGCGGUGCUGAGAGGAUGAUGAGCCACACUGGGACGGAGACACGGCCCAGACUCCUACGGGAGGCAGCAGUGGGGAAUAUUGCACAAUGGGCGCAAGCCUGAUGCAGCAAUGCAGCGUGUAUGAAGAAGGUCUUAGGGUUGUAAAGUAUGUUCAGCGGGGAGGCGUUAACCGCAGAAGAAGCACCGGCUAACUCCGUGACAGCCGCCGCGGUAAUUC